rnacentral:sRNA from 1 species
GUUUAACCCUGAUGGUAGUGGAAAUCCUGUCAUUGCAUAUCAAAUUGUUGAUGUGAUUAGCUUCGUUCCUCGCAAUGACAGAUUGAAACGGACAGCAGGAAUUGCA